GGCUUUGGGCGGAGCUCCGUUUAAAAAGCCGCGUGUCCCUGCCUCGCUCUUCCUUUUAUCCGCCACCCCAGCUCCCCCGCGCAACGGUAGCAGUAGCCAGCUCUCGUCCUACUCACAGUAGAUCCGCUGAAGUUAAGGGGCAUGACUUAGUUCAUUAAUUUCAGUGGGUCUGCUCAAAGUAGCCACAGAGACCAGUUGUGCUUUGACAACGUGACAUAUAACAGUUCAGAUAAAGCCAAAGGGAAAAAAGGUAACAGAACUCGGAAGCCGAAGUUGUGCGCCCUUCUAACACUCUAUCUCAUGGGCCCGAAUCGAAGGGGAGGGGGGAGAGGAGGAAGAAAAAAGGACAAGGAAGAGACUGGGGCAGAGAGCGGCACUAGUAAGGUGUCUGAGAAGAUGAAUGGUGUCCCCUGGCGGCUCCAGGGCGCUACUACAGCGGCGCAGUCGCCGGUUGAGCCUUGUUCUUCCCCGCUUCCCUGUUCAAAGCCAGAACUCGCCAGAACCCAGUUCUAGAACCUCUCAGGUGGGCGCUGUUGUCAUUAUAAGAGAACAAGGGAGGCGUACAUGAUUUGAGCUCUCCACUUCUCCAAAGCCAGACCAUAGCUCAGUGGUAGAGCACAUACAUACUUUGAGUGCAGAUGGACCCAGGUUCAAUCCCAAACAUCCUCUCCAUGUGAGGAGAGGGACAGACAAUCCUUUGAAACCCUGGAGGCUGUGGACAGCCCUCAGCUUCUGCGUUAUUAAACCCAAGCCACUGACCACAUAGCUGGGCUUCUCUUCAUUUGACAAGAAAGGAGGAUUUCUUCAUGCCUGCAAUUGAUUUCCACACUUCAAAUCAAAGAUUAUUCAAUCUUCCUCUAGAAAUCUGAUUUGCAGGAUUCCAAACGAGAUGACGAUGACACAACCGCUCCAGAUGUGUCUGUGGCUUUUAGGUGUGGGAGCGAGGCCAAGGGAAGUACCACUUUGGAUUUCUUUCAGCAGCAAAUCUUUUAAGAAAUCCCCAGACCUCUGUUAUGAAGGCAAACAGAAACUCCUGUGAGGCAGACCUGCCUGACAGCAACUUGGACAGUGCCCCCCCUCCCCGACCGCCACCAUGACUGCACCUCCCAGGCCCAGGUAAGUCCAACUAGAAACUACUCUCUUUCCUUCUGCCUAAUUUCUGUUUCUCUGCCCCCUUCCCUCAGCUAGAGUUGGGUUACUUUAUUCCAAAACACAAACUCUGAUGGGUAUCUUAUUCCAAAACACAGAGAGAUUCCUAACUAUCAAGAGGUGGUUUCUUAUCUGUUGGCUCUUGUUGAUGAGGCAUCAACCAACUGUCUUGGACUAUUAACAAUCUGCCUGACAAAGGGCUGGUCAGUUAGCAGCCAGAACAAUAUAGUAGUCAACGUUGAGUGA